GUCUCUCUGGUAAAACAAAAUGCAUUCAAUUACAUUAAUUUUUACUAAUUUCACUUUUCUCUGAAAAGUCCCUUCUGAUGUGGAGAGUGCAGCUGUGGAGCAGGAAGCCAAGAGCAGCCCGGAGAGAAAACAUCGGUGUUGGCGGAGUGGUGGGAGCUGUGGCAGGGCAGGAGGAGAGCAGGGAUGACAGCACAAGGAGGGCUCUGUGCUCCAUCUGGGAUUCUCACAGCUCCACCAGUUCCUGCAGGACUGAGGAGUCAACCUGGGGAGGGUGAGGCAGUUUCACUUGCAGGUGACAAGGGCACAGAUGGAAGUACCAGACCUUGCUGAUGGUUUUGGAGUGGGCUCAUGUGACAGCUCUGCAGCAGCCUCCUUGCAAUUGCUAAAGAGCAGCAAAUACUGAGGAGUGAGGUGUUGGAGUGAUUUUGUGCAACCUGAACUUGUUAGCUUGGUCAGUGUGUUUUCCUGUAAACGAAUGCUGCUUUGCAUACAGAAGACAGAAGAUUAAAAAAGAAGAAGGAAGAAAAAGCAGUGAUUGGGAUAAGAAGACCUGGAAAGACAAUAGUCAAGCAAAGAAACUGGCUGAAAAAUGUACAUGAAGGAUUUUGGAAACAAAAGAGUAUGAG